rnacentral:lncRNA from 1 species
CUAGGUCACACCGUUUGAUCAACACUCACAUGACGGAAUGACUUAUAGGUGAUGUAUAUGUUAAUAUUGUGAGCUGUAACAGUUUGGCAGGAUGAUGAUGAUGAUGAUGUUGGGAUGAUCUUGAGAAGGAUCAUUCAGUUUGUGAUGUGGUCACGAGGUGAUCAUGUGGAUGUUCCAUUUUUGAUCUGUGAAUGAUCACCGUUCGGUUAUGAGGUAACCCGUUGAACCCGGUGUGGUUCCGUUUGUGAUAUGUGAAUGAUCAUCGUUCGGUUACGAGGUAACCAUUGAACCCGGUGUGGUUCCGUUUGUGAUCCAUGAGUGAUCACCGUUUUGUUUUGGUCACGAGGUGAUCGAGAUGGUAUAUUGAUUGGAUGGUUAGCCAAGUGUGAGAUGGUUCAUGUGGUACUUGAGAUCUGAGAUGAUGGCUUAUCAGUAUUCUAGUAGUUCAUAUCGUGAUUAUUAGUUGCUUCAUCAUGGUAGCUGUUAAUUUAAUUAUCCUGCUUAAUGUUAUGUUGUUGUCUUGCCUUGAUGUUUUUGGUUGUUGUGAGCUUGAGAGUACAUUCAAUGUACUAACCUGGCGUGUCAUGCCAGAUUGCAGGUGAUGCCGUGAUUGCUUGAUUGCUUGUCGUGGUUUCCGUUCGUGCGAGCUAGAUCGUGUCCCAGCCAGAGUCCCUGCGGAGUGGAGUUCACUACCUUCGUCGUUGUUCCACUGCUAGAAGAUUUCCGCUGCUACGAGUUGUUCCGCUGCUAGUAUAGAGCAAGUGUAGUAUCGCAGGCAUAGUGUCACCGUGUUGAUGUGCUUCUUUGUAACAUCAGACCCUUGUAUUCUUAUUCUUGUAAUAAGAGCUGAUUUGUUCUAUGUCAAGCAGUGUCGUAUUCCAGAGACUUCUCCUUGAUCUCUGGGAUGGAAUACAGGGCGUUCCGGUGUCUCUGAGCCGGGGUACCACAGGCUUGGUAUCAGAGCAGGUCUAGCUGUAGGACGCCCUAGUCAGCGCGAGCGGUAGAAACCGGUAGAAAUUGGUAGUAUAGAGUCUGGCUUGUUUAUUCCAUUUGGUUGCUGCAUUUGUUUGUUGCAUAGCAUGCAUAUAGAAUUAUUAUUUGUUGCUAACGGUUUAUCUAGUGAGUGUAGCUGGCAUCGGUUCAGAUCCACUAUAGCUCAACCGUUGCAUUUCUCCAGUUCCUUUUACUUUCGGUGUUUGGUGCCAUUCGUGUCCCAGCAGAGUGAUGCCAAGUGAUCCCGACACUGUUUGCACAAAUGGUGCUCAGGUAUCGCGCCGAUGUCUUUCUUUCAGUCCCGUCUAUCAUUUCGGUGAUGGGCAUGCUUCUAUUCCGAAUCGCUCUUUCAUUUUGUCGUGUUGGCAACCCUUAAUGAUCUUAGUUAUCAAGAAAGGGCAAUGUCAGCAGCCUUAGUUUUUCCCCGCUAUCCUAUUUCUUGGACGAGUACGGAUUUUUUUGUCCGCUUGAUAAUAAUGUGGUUGCGAUCUUCAUGUCCCACUACAUGAUUACCGAGUGUGUCCUCGCCUCCGAGCUAGUCAAGAUUGCUACCUGGCUAAGCUAGCACUUGGUGUAGCGAUGUUUACAUGAAUUCUUCCACACAUUUAUUCGUCCUCGUGCACAUCGUCACAGCAUGCUAGAUUGUAGAACCGAAGAUCCCGCGAGAUUUGUGUGCUUAAGUAGGCAUGCAUAUGUGUGACUAGCAGUAAUAUGUGACAUUGAUUGUGUGUGAAUUGUUUGUUCUUGUGUGCUUUUGUUUAGUUGAGUUUUCCUUUGCUUCUUUCUUUUUGGGCCCCGGUGUUACAUUAUUUUUCCCUAUAAAGAGUUGCUCCUCAACCGACACCGAACUCGAAGAAGUAAUUAGGAUUUCGAAUAUUUGGAAGAAGCUCAGCUAAACAUUAUGGUAUACCCAGUCAACUGCAUUAUGGCAUUAAUAUCUGCUUAGAAUAGCAAUGGUGUAUUGGAUUGAUUAUCAGCAUCAAGUCCCCAUCGGUACCAAAUCCUCGCAGCAGUUAUGAUCCAGCCAGCAGCAAGACAAGUCAGGUACAAGCUCAACAGUAUAUUUUCAGACAGAGGUAUGGAUCAUAUACAAAGUUUUGCUCAGCAAUGCAUGAUGCUUGAAAUAUGUUUUCAUCCGAAAUAAAGUCAGAAUGUGAUAUGCUCAAGGAAGACAGUCAACCCAUUUUUUUCAUGCAAAUAAUCAGCCUCAGAAUAUUAUGGGGGAGUGUAUGGAUUUCAGUCUGCAUAUUAGUAUGAAGUUUUGGAUGUAAGAAACCCAAUAUUCUUCCACAUGCUAUCGGAAGAAAUUUAUGAUGCAAGGCUCCUCAAUUUUCCUUAGCAUGAUAUGUGAACAGUUUCCAGCCCAUGAUACCCAGCCUUUCUCAGCAAGAUACCUCGGUAAAGGCUUCUGACAGACGGAAAUGAAUUUUUCUCAACAAGCAAACCCGAGGAGAAGCUUCUCAAGUAUGGAACUCGGGCUUCUCCAGCACAAUAAUCAGAGCAAUCUUCGUGUGUAAGCUAUAGAGCCUUCUUCUGCACGAUACCCAGACAAAACAUUUGAGUAGAAGUUAACAAGUCUUCCUCAGCAAACUACUCGGAUGGCUUCUCUCGUAAGCCAUUCAGUCUACAUCAGUAUCACACUAUUACACAUAGAUUAUAUGAUGAGUUGCCAAUAUAUGGCAGCACCGCUCAAGAAUCAGACUCGCAACAUUUUUGUCAGAACCACAAUUCAGUCAAAGCAUAUGCCUACUGCAAGAAUCGAGUGUUUGCUGGCAUAUCCUUCUUAUAUAUGGUGAGCAUGCAUCCUCGGUCAUAUCAGAAACUCAUACGAGAUGCGACAGGGAUCCAACAGAUACACCUAAGGAAAGUAAGGAUCCCACAACCUCAUGAAUCAUGCAAAGGAGGAUAAGCAGAGAUACAUCUCAUGAAUUAUAAGGAUCGACAAAAUCUGGAGAUGACAUCAUAGAAUCAACAGUCUUGACAAUGGUCAUCAAGGUCAUUGUUCCUGCAACUGACAAGGAGAUAUCAUAAAACCUUGUCACCUUCUUGUAUGAUUGGCCUCGGCAAUGGGAUCCGUACAACUACAUGCCUCGAAUAUAUAUUUUCGGUGUACUAAAAUAGGGGUUCUAUUCUGUACCCCUUACUAAGUGCACGGGCAGUCGGAGCCGCGUGGCCACAACCACACUAAGCAGGGCAAGGGAGAGGGCUGGAGCCACAGAAACAAUCAGCGCAGCGCCAAGACCAGAAGACCAAGAUGACAAGGUGAUUCUCCCCGGCAAGAGUCUUGCCGGGGCAGGAUCCACGGCCCUGACAAAAGUCUUGCCGGGGCAACUUGCCCAGCCCUACGCCAGUAGGACGCGCUACCCUUGAGCCCAAAUUUCCCAACCUCAUUGGGACUAGGGCUCGGGAGGCACUCCUGUGGUGGCAUGCAGAUCUUUGUGAAGACAAGAGGCGUUCUAAGACAGAGGAGGAACAGAAGGCAACGAAACCACGACAAGAUACUUGCCAAGGAAGCUCACAAGACCUCCGGCAACAUCCUUGCCGGAGACGACUACGACGCCACGGCAAGACCCUUGUCGGGGCCCUGGCAAGGCCCUUGCCGAGGACAUCCAUGACAUCUACACCACGCCUGCGCCAGCCAUGGUCCCGCCCCUGUUCCCUAUGCAGCUGCCAGCCCACCAGCUGGGCAGGCACCUACGUGGCAACAAGGGGCUUUCGGACCAAUUCAGCGCAUGCCUACAUGGUGGCAUGCAAAUCUUCAUGAAGGACCUGCCACCUCAGCUGCCUGCCAGCCCCUGUGGCGCCACCUCAGCUGCGUGCUAGUCUACAUGGCGCCGCACGCCUCACUGGCUUGGGCGCGUGUCGAAGCAGGGAAGAGCGGCGGCAGAUGAGACGUGGGUUCGCAUUUAAUGCACCUUGUCCCAUACGGCUAUUGAUAGACUUAAACACAGUACCCCGAUGCCACCUCCUGGUACCACUGUGGCGAUCCUCUUGCUUAUAAAAAGAGGCCCAAGGCGUCCAGGAGAAAGAUUCGGAUCUUUGGACAAGUUACGCCCAUUGCAGCUAGCUCUAGUACAAGAACACUCAAUAGAGAUCUUAGGCAGGAGUAGGGUAUUACUCAAGCCGCGGCCCGAACUUGGGUAAAUCCCCUGUGUCCACUAAAUUGGCCUCCCGAUCCUUCUCUCCUCUCAACCCCAUGCCCCGCAACCGUAGUAGGGAUCUCGUUUUGAUCCCAUAGGUGUCGUUUCCACCGACAUCUUUGGCGCACCAGGUAGGGGGUUGCGCUGCUUGCCGGAGAGAAUCGGGUUCGGGAGCUGUUUCGGUGGUUCUUCGUCGCCAUGGCUCUCAAUUAAGAAGGCGACCGAGCGAGCAGCCCCGCCGUCGGAUGCAGCAAACAUCCGCGCGACGACAAAAAAAAAGCUAAGUCUUGCAAGAACUUCAAACAGUUUUUCCUUUUACAAGGUUAUCUUCCUUGGAGAUCUUUCCUCUGUACGGGAAACAUGCACGCAGUGGGGCCUUUCCAUCAUCGGCAAUGCUCUUGGUCUGUUUUGAGUCUGCUCAACAGAUCGAGCGACUGCGUCGAGGGCAGCAGGGUGACCUUCCGCUAUUGGCAACGCUCUUGCUCUAUCUUGAGUCCGCUCGACAGUUCGGGCGGCCGCGCUAAGAACGGCAAGGUGGCUCGCACGGCGGGAAGCACACCCUGCCGGCCGCUAAAGGAUCCGUCCUUCAAAGCGUAGCGGUUUGGGUUUACGCGUCGGCGAGCCUAUUCGGUAGGCGUAGGGUGGACGUACAGAGAAAGGUUGGACAUGGGAAUAACAUGCAACAUAUUAAAAGUACUGUAGAGUUAUAUUACACCAAUUGUUGAUGUGGUUCUAACUAAAGAUAUGAAUUGUCUUUGUCAUGAACCUACAGCGGUAGCAAGAGACGGGGCGUCUAGUCCCGGCGCUGGCCCUCCAGCCUCUAGAUCCCGCUGAUGCGGCUGAUGACGGGCUCGAUGCGCUCCUCGAGCAGUGCGAGGUCCGCGUCGUCCGGCAAGCUAUCCAGCAAGGCAUCAAAGUCGAGGCUGGGGUUCCAGUGCGCCAGCUUGGUGAGAACCUUGGUCAUGGCGCCUUGGCAAAGCAUCCAGGCCUCGUCAGCCAAGGAACUCGCCCGGUUGGAGUGAAGCUGCUCCAGAGCCCUGAGGACGCCCUCAAAAAAGAUGGUCAGACUUGCGUUGGGGCUUAGAUUUGGUUCCGGGGCGUACCUCACGUCCGGCACCUUCAUCCUGAUCAGUUUCUUGGUGAUUCUGUUGGCAACGGCGAUGAGGCGACCGAUCCAAAGCUUCUCACCAUCAACCUGGUCCUCGAGAUUGGCAGCCACGUUUGCCCGGAGCUACUCCUCUGCCGCCAAGCGCUGGGUCAGGGUCCCCUCCCGGGUUUUGGCCUCCUUGAGCGCCCCCUCAAGGCCCUCCAGCUUGAGCUUCAAGUAUUUGAUGGUGUCCUUGGCGGUGGAAAGCUGCUCAGCUCUGCUAAGGACCUCGGAUUGUGCCUCGACUAGGGCCUUGUUGAGCAUGUUCUUUUCCGAGGACAGCUCUGAGGCUCGUUUCGCCAGGCCAUCCCGCUCCGUCUCCAACUCCUUCACCCUAUUGCCGUAGGCCAGGGCCUGGGCAUCGAGCACCUCCUUGUGCUUGUGCUCCAGCUCCUGGGUCCGCGCCGCGGCAAGCUUCUCCACCUCUUCAUCCUUGCCACGGAGUUUGGCGGCAAGCGCUGCCUCACGCGCAGUAAGAUCAUCCUCAUAGGAGUUAAGCGCGGCCUCGCGUUGGUGCCGGAUGGCCUCGUCCUUGUCGGCAUGUGCCUUCGCCACCUCCUAGGCCUUCUCGAUGUUGGACUGCUUUAAGACGAGUUCUUGUUUGCGCUCGGCCAGCUGCUCCUGGGCAGCCCUCAACUCCUCAUGAGCCUGGCGGUACCAGGCAUGUGCCUCAGUGACGUGCUUCUCGAGGUCAGCCGCCGUUUUGUUCACCACCGCCUUCUUGGUCCUCGACUGGUCCAGACGGGCGCGGUGGAGUGCCUGGAGCUUGUUGAAGUUGGCACUCGGAGCCUGGAGGAGCCGCUCCUCUUGGGAGCCGCCACCAGAGCUCGGCUCGUCAACAACUUCAAGCCCGGCGGCGGCGAGCACCUCGUCAUCAAAAAUCUCCCCCUCGGCAGGCACUACGGUGCCCGCCGUCCCUAGAAUGCAGACGAACAAGUUGUCGCCCACCCUCAGGUACCUGCCUGAGCCGGAGGCAGCAGAGGAGGAGGGUUGAUCAUCCACCACCUCCUCCUCGGCAGCGGCACCCCUGCCGGUGUCCCGGCAGGCCCCUUGCCGGUGUCCCCGACAAGUCUCUCACCGGCCUCCUCAUCGGUGGCCUUGCCGGACUCCUCGACAGAACCCGCGGCAGUUUCCUCCGCAUCCUUGGCAGCCUCAUCGGAGGCAAUCUUGGUGGCCUCAGCCUCCCCGUCCUUGGCAAUCUCCUCGAUGGUGGCAUCGGUGGUCCCCUGGUCAGCCGAAGGAGCGCCUGGAUACCAGCAUCAAGGGUAAGGCGGAGCCAAACCAAGAAGAAGAAAAAGAGAACAAGGGAUGGAUGGGCUCACAUGUGCCGGGCUGAGGAGAGGCGGCUCUCUCCCCACCACUCCCGGCGCCUGGGUGGACCCGCCAGCGCCUAGGUUCGCCUCCUCUUCCUUCGUGUGCAUGGGCUCGGUGCUUCGCGCCCUUGCCAGGGAUGCCCCACGGAGCGGUGUGGUUGAUGGAGGCGGUGUGUUGGGGGUGGCCCCCAACGGGUCCUCCUGCCGCUGUCCUUCUCCUAUGACCAUGGCAAAGUCAGUACCAAAAGGAGCACCCUUCCCAGCAUGCAUUGACAAGGAACAGGUGGUGAACUUACGUUGGGGGCUGAGCCGGGGGCUGUGCCGCGGGCUACCAUCGUCCGGACUGCUCUCCACCACCAGCAGUGCGCCUGGAGUGCCUGCCGGGGGUUGGCUGCUUGCCGAGGCCUUGGCCCUCUUCCUCACCCGCUGGGCCAACGUCUCCGUGUCCCUACCGAGGCAAAACAAGUCAAGAUAAGCAAACAACCCUGCUGGAAAAUACAGGAAUGACAAGGAUAGGAUGCUCACUCCUCCUCUGUCUCCUCGUCUGCUGCUUUCCUUUCUCUCCUCGGGCUGAGGGACAAGAAGUCGAAGAUGACAUCCUCGUUCGCACUUGCCGGGGGAGAAGAAGGCGAUGGAGUCCGGUAGCGUUUGGAUGAAGAAGAGGCAGCCAUCGUCUUCUUCGCCACCGCGGCUCUCUUCUUCGCCUCCACAGCUCGCGUCUCGCGCACAGCUCCCGUCGGCACAGCCUGCCGCGGUUCGCCCCUGCCUCGUCGGACCAGCUCGCCAGAGAUAGCCUGGCAUAGGGUGCGUCUCUUCUUCGCGGCCAAGGGGUCGACGGCCUCGGCCUCCUCCUCGGAUGAUUCUUCAACCUCAUCCCUGGCGGGGGGGGCCUCGGCGUUGCCGCCGCCCGCCUUUUGGGCGUCCCUCACCCACCGGGCGAGUUCCGAUUCCUCUGCAGCAGCAGCGGCCUUGUUCUCCAUGCCGCCAGCAUCGCCGGCCAGCCUGGCAAGCCCUGCCUCCACCGCCCUUUGGGUGAUGUAGUUCAGCUCCUCCUGGGUGGUGUCCUUGAUGAGCACUAGCUCAUCGUGAGCAAGUUCUUCGACGAGAUUGUCGAAGAAGUCCUGCACCUGCUGUGUCGGGGGCUCAACCCAGUUGGGGUCGAGGCCGUGCGGGUUGAAGGUUGGCAUCAUGGCGAGGAUUUCGGCCUGCCGGGUGUUGUUGCUCAGCGGGACCACACCCGGCGGCAGCCCGAACAACGGCCCUUUGACGACCUUGCUAGACUUCGCCGCCCUGCCGGUCCUCUCCACCCUCCCAUCGGCGUACAUGUCAAGCUAGAAGAACCUCCGGUAGUACCAGGAGUGCCCCAGUACCUUGAGGUUUUUCUGCAAACCGGUGCGGAGCCUCAUGAUAUCGGCCGCAUUUUGGAAAGCCUAGGCCGGCCUCCCUUUCUUGUGCAGCAGAGCAAUUCGACGGCGGAUGAAAUCUGCCGCGAUCAUCUCCAGGGUGAGUCCGGACUCGGUAAGACGACUGAUCCUGAUGGUGGCAAUGGAGAAUUUCUUGUCAGUGGGGUCGAGGUCGCUCCAAUCUGCGCCACGGGGUAGCACCUCCCGACGAAUCCUCCGGCAGAACCCUGGCGGGUUCUCCUCUGCGAUCUAGCACCACCAGGCCCGCCAUUCUUCCCACCUCUCCUUCGUGGCGCCCACUGGGUACGCUCCCUUCUCCUGGGCCCUCGGGAUCCAGGUGAUAGUUCCAGAAAGGGUGCCCCCAGGCUGGACGCGGGGGGAGAAAUAGUGGCGGAAAAGCGCUGUGCUGGGCACCACUCUGGCAAAACCCUCGCAGAGGUGGGCAAAGCACGCCAAAUACGCCACCGCAUUCGGCGUGAGAUCCAGCAGGUUGAAGCCGAAAGUGCGCAUGAUGUUGUUGAAGAAAUCAGAAAAAGGGGGCAGAGCCCGCAGUAGAAAAAGUCGGCGAAGAAUGGGUACCAUUCCGGGCCGCCCAAGUCGCAGUCCGUGGGGAGGGCGUGUGUGGCCGGAUGUGCCGACGUCGCCCCCCCCCACACACACACAGGGGCUUGAAAAGGUCCCUGAGCUCGAGGGCAUCGACCAACGACAGGAUGAAGUAGGCGGACUGCGCCCGCUGCACCACCGCCUCGCUCUCCGGCAGCUCCUUCCCCUUCGUCUCUUUGGUUGCGCCCUUACCUUUGCUAGAUUUGGACGCCAUAGUGGCUGGAGAUGGAGCAGGGGGCUGAGGACAGUGGGGGGACCGGCAGCGGCGAGCGGGGGCUUGAGGAAGAAGAAGGCAAGGACGGUGAUGCCGAGAUUGGGGGGAGCAGAGAGUAAAAUGAGCCGCGUGCCCGCGGUUAUUCCUUUUUAUGGGGAAGACGCGGGUCGCCUCUUUGCCAUUAAUUUCGAUGUGACGCAUGCCUGCAGCAACCGCUCUGCGCAUGCCCCCCACGUCAGCACGACCCCCACAUCACGCAUUCAACGCGGGUCAUGGGGAAGCGCAUCGGGUGGAAAUUUACUGCGGUGACAACCGCCUCGCCUGCCCGAGCACUAUUUUUGGGCCUAGCCCAACAACCGCACCGCGUUUAUGUGUGGCCUAGGCCCGGGGGCUCCUAUCGGUGUACUAAAAUAGGGGUUCUAUUCUGUACCCCUUACUAAGUGCACGGGCAGUCGGAGCCGCGUGGCCACAACCACACUAAGCAGGGCAAGGGAGAGGGCCGGAGCCACAGAAACAAUCAGUGCAGCGCCAAGAUCAGAAGACCAAGAGGACAAGGUGAUUCUCCCCGGCAAGAGUCUUGCCGGGGCAGGAUCCACGGCCCCGACAAAAGUCUUGCCGGGGCAACUUGCCCAGCCCUACGCCACUAGGACGCGCUACCCUUGAGCCCAAGUUUCCCAACCUCAUUGGGACUAGGGCUCAAGAGGCACUCCUGUGGUGGCAUGUAGAUCUUUGUGAAGACAAGAGGCGUUCUAAGACAGAGGAGGAACAGAAGGCACUGAAACCACGGCAAGAUCCUCGCCAAGGAAGCUCACAAGACCUCCAGCAACAUCCUUGCCGGAGACGACUACGACGCCGCGGCAAGACCCUUGCCGGGGCCCCGGCAAGGCCCUUGCCAUGACAUCUACACCAGGCCUGCGCCAGCCACGGUCCUGCCCCCGUUCCCUAUGCAGCUACCAGCCCACCAUCUGGGCAGGCACCUACGUGGCAACAAGGGACUUACGGACCAAUUCAGCACAUGCCUACAUGGUGGCAUGCAAAUCUUCAUGAAGGGCCCGCCACACCGCCAGCUCAGCUGCCUGCCAGCCCCCGUGGCGCCACCUCAGCUGCCUGCUAGUCUACAUGGCGCCGCACGCCUCGCUGGCUUGGGCGCGUGUCGAAGCAGGGAAGAGCGAUGGCGGACGAGAUGUGGGUUCACAUUUAAUGCACCUUGUCCCAUACGGCUAUCGAUAGACUUAAACACAGUACCCCGAUGCCACCUCCUGGUACCACUGUGGCGAUCCCCUUACUUAUAAAAGGAGGCCCAAGGCGUGCAGGAGAAGGAUUCGAAUCUUUGGAUAAGUUACGCCCAUUGUAGCUAGCUCCAGUACAAGAACACUCAACAGAGAUCUUAGGCAGGAGUAGGGUAUUACGCAAGCCGCGGCCCGAACCUAGGUAAAUCCCCUGUGUCCACUGAAUUGGCCUCCCAAUCCUGAUCUCCUCUCGACCCCGCGCUCCGCAACCGCAGUAGGGAUCUCAUUUUGAUCUCAUAGGUGUCGUUUCCACCAACAUAUGUCGUAUGUGUGCGGAUCCAGGCCAGAAAACAAGCACAAGGGAUAAUGUCAAAAAUAUUGCACUAAUCAUGUCCAUGGUCAUACGAAGAAUCAAGGACAUGUGUGGCCAAGAUAUUUCAGUAAGGUAUCCUAACAAAAGAAAUCAUGACCAUUAAAGGGUGAGACUGACAGCACAAGUAUGAUGAUUUUGCGCGACCAUCAGGGUCUGGAUACCCAAGUCAGUCCACAAAGGCAUACUCUCAGCGGCAUACCCUAUUUACAAGGAUUUUCAUAUCCUGCUGACCCGCUUGGCAUAGUUAGUGUGGAAUAUCCAAGUCUGUUCUGUCAGAUCCAAAAUUCCUUUGCAACCUCAGCGGCAGUGUUAAAGCAUAUCCCAGCCUAUUACCACAGAUGGGUAUAUCGAUAACAUGAGAAAAAAAUCAAAAGCCGAACAAUCAGCUCAGACCCGGUAUAUUCACCGACGGAUCAAGUAUACAGUCAGUCUAUCAGGAAAAGCAUUUGUCUGUAAGCCCCCUGUCGGACCAGUCUCAAGGUGUAAAUAGUUGAGGUAUGACACAACUAUAACUCCAUACACCGUUAUAUUGCUCACGACAGAAGUCAGUUAAACCUCUGGUAUAUGCCACAUGUUUGAGCCAAAGGAAUAAAUCAAAAUAAAUCAAUACCACCUAUGCGCAAUCAGAUCCCGUCAGAAGAUGGCCAUGAUUAAUUCUCAACAUUUAUUGAAACCAGAAGGCCUGCAUUUAUUUGAAGCAACCCCAUGACAGAAGUAAAAAGGUUUUCAUGACCAAAAGAAGAUUUAUGCUCAGAUCCAUUGGAUAUCACCACAGGUAUGGAGAAUCAGAGUUAGUAACAAAGAAUUGGUAUAUGAGCAAAGACCUGUCAGAAUUUAGGGAAAAGUGAAGCAAAUCACCCCAGAGCAAGGUAAGUUGAUCAUCUGAAAUUCUUGGGGAACAAUAAAUAAAGCAAAAAGGAUACCCGAGUUGGAAAUGGUGUCCUCAAGUCAUACUUGUUCGCUGAGCAACUAAAUCUCGAGGACGAUAUUUCAUUAAGGGGGUAAGAGUUGUAACAGCCUAGAUUUUGGCCCUUUUCUUUUUCUUUUGAUUUGUCUGGUUUUUGCUCUGUUUUUCUUUUUGGAGUGGUUCUGUGGCCUUGCCACCUGGGAAAUCAUACUAAUUUCCCCUCCCAAGUGGCCCAUCAUUCUCAAAACCUUGCCAAGAUCAUGUCACUUCACUCCUUGACCAAACCCUAAAAUUCUUUUCUAGGGAAAUUUCAUUUUUCAUUAAAGGAAUAACCCUAUCUGCCCUAGGUUGUGAAGCAACCUAUAUUUCUGUCCUUCAAAAAAUUCCCAAAUAAUUCUCAUAAAUCCUUUGGGUCAUAUAUAGCUCAAAUAUGCCCAAACAUUUCCUUGGCCAGUUCAAAAAUAAGUCCCCAAUAAUUAUUCUUCAUUUCUGUCCAGUGUGGUUUUCUGUGAAGGAAGUGCCACCUAUCGUUUCUUGAUUUCUCCCAAACUCCUUGGGCAUGCUUAUAUGUCCAAAUAAUUGCCUCAUGCACAAGUUCAAAUAUAUUUGCCUAGCCAAUCUUCCUCAGCAAUUUUUUAAAGUUUCUGUCAAAUAGAAGCCAUUGUGAAGGAAAUACUAGCUAGGAAUAUCCAAAUGAGUUGUACUUUUGCACACUCCUUAAUGUGCUCAUACUAACCCCCUCUACCCAUUUCAGUCCUAUCCAAUCAUCUAUGUGAGCACAGGAGCAAAUCUUUAGUUCUUGCAAUAUUUUCAGGUUGUGAAGCAAGUGUAUUUUAUAUUGCUUCAAAUAUCCUGAUAAAUUACCAGAUCAUUCUUAUACCCAUAAAACAUAUCUCCACCCAAUUUGGCAUCAUUUCAAUGAGCCAUUUGAUCACCAAAAUUAUUCCAAGUUUCUGGACAGAAAUGAUGUUUGUGAAGUAAGUACCAUUUUGGCUUGUCCAUUUGGUAUGAGUUUUUUACAGAAUCUUUGUAUGUCCAUAUCAUGAGGAUUUGCCAAGUUGCAUCCCAUUCCAUAACUCCAAGUGAGUGCAUUAUCCAAAUCUUGAUUCUGGACCAAUUUUGGGGUUACACAGCAACUAUAUUAGUUUGUGCUCCAUUAUGCUCCAAAACCUCCAGGACCAUAGUCCUUCCGUAGUUAAUCAUCCCAGACAACACCAUUUGAUCCAAUCAAUUUCCUGUUGAUCAGCAAUGCUCUGCCAAGAUUGAUGCAGUAAAUUCAGAGCUUAGUUACCAUUUAACCAUAGCACCCCAGAUCCAUCCAUGGCCUCAUCAAUGCUUUAUCUUGGAAGGACUAUCAGCUAGACAAUGUUUUGGGUGCUGUAGAGCUUUGAAUACCCAUGUUCACGUGGUGACUACGACAAUGGCAUGCCUGUGCGCGUGCUCUGUGCGCAGUGGCCAUGUCCUGGGCGCCGUUUCUGCUUUGUCCGCUCCCCACUCAUCAUCUUCGCGCGCGUGAGCAUGUCCAGUGACUGCAUCUCAUCGUCGCUGUUCCCCUAGACCCCUCUCCCCCUCUGUCUGCUUCCUCACCGAUGCAAACCGCCGCGUGCCCAUGGACGUACAGUGGAGAUUUGGCUCUGCUCGUCGCCGUCUUCUUCCUCCCUGCGCUCCCUUGGCCUCCUCUUCCCCAUGAGACUCCCCCUGUGCAUCCUCCGUCGCCUAUCCCCGAGCUCAUGCACGCGCACAUGAGUCCGCGGCGCCGGACACGCGUCUGCGUCGGUGCCAGCUCGAAACUCCUCCCCUCUGCUUAUUUAAGGCCUCCCCCGAGCUCUCCGAGCUCACAAACUCUUCCUCUCCUUCCCAGAGCCCCGCAUAGCCUCUUCUUUGAGCUCCAGAAGCUCUCCUCGCCGCAAACCAUCACCACGGCCACCGCUUCGGCUCGCCUAAAUUGGUGCUGCCCCAAGCUCUUGUCUCCCCUCUUCUACCUCCAGUAGACCACCCCCACCACCCCGGAGCCAUCCUAGCCCUCCCCCUCCUCCUCUGGUGGUCCAUGGCCACGAGCCCUCCAGUGCCUGGCGCCUCCAUCCGCCACGGCUGGUGCUCCGCUCAGCCGAGCCAUCCCCCGCACCUACAUAGUGUCUGGACGAGAUCGCCUCGCUCCCUUGAGCACGCGGGUGGUCCCGGCUCCGCAUUUGGUGGCCUACGGCGCCGGCAACCGUCGUCGAAGCUUGCACUGUCCUCUGCUCCGUGGGCGGGCGAGCGGUUGAAGAUGACGAUCGUGCCCGAGGACCCCACCUGCCUGCGGGCCCCGCCCAUCAGUCGCUGAGGUGUUGACUCGAACUCACCGAUGUGGAUAAGUGGCAAACCCCGCCUGUAAGUCUCACACGUUGACCCGAGCUGCUGAGGUGGAUAAGUGAAAGCGUAUUCCUCGGAGUAUGUUUUCCUCCAUCGGAAGUGCAUUUCAUUUAUUCUUUAGCCAUGAAUAUGUUUUCAGUUUAGUGAAAGCGUAUUUCUCUAACUACGCUUUCUGUUUUUCUGUCCAGGCCCAGAUUGUGAAGUUUUUCUUUACAAAGAGGCCCCUGGCAGAAAAACAUCUAUAUCUUUUCAACCGUAGCUCCAAAUCAGGUGAUUCCAAAGCCCACUUCUUUGUUCCGUCGAGCCCUUUCUGUUGGUCACUCUUUCACCAUGUUUUGUCAUUCUAAAAAUGACCAUUUUUGCCCUGCCCUUAUUGAGCCCCCUCCAAAAGAGAAAGAUUUCUGGCGAUUCUUUCUGCGAGUUUCUCGCACUUUCUCCCGGUGAUUUCUUCCACCCCAGGCAAGCCACACCCUCCAUUUGCAUCACUGUAAUGCAGUGACAUGAUUUAAUCUAUUUGAACUUGUUUAAAAUAUUGCUUUAGCUACAUGACUUUGUGCAUGGCCUUUUCUCGGAGUAUUAUUCUGAUCUUGCUGUUGCCAUGCUAUUGUUUGGAUUACUAGGAGUUAUGGUUGUAGUUGAUGAGUAUCAUGUUGCCAUUGGAGUAUUAGUGGUUGAUAUUAUGAUUAUUUUCAUGAUGAUAUCUGCUAUUAUAAUUUGGAGUAUUACUUUGGAUGGCAUGCUGCCUUUGGAUUAUUAGUGGUUAGUAUGACUAUUUUCAUGAUGCUAGUUGAUGUUCUGUUACUGUUGCUUGGAGUAUUAAUUUCGGAGAUGAUGUUUACGUGUGGAUCUUAGCUGGAUAGCUUUGUUCUUGUUAUUGGAGUAGUAGGAUUAUUGUUUUCGGAUUCAUCAUGAUAGAAAUUUUAUGCUACCCUCAGAGUAUUUUAAUAUGAUAAUGGUAUGCUUUAGAUUAUUUGUUGGAUAUUGCUAUGACUUUGAUUACAGUUUGAUAGUUGAUAUCGGAGUAUCAGUGAUCACAGUUAUAUUUUUGGGGAUAAAUUACAUCAUUAAGUUGGUCAGGUGCCACUGAACCGGGCUUUUCCAGUGCAACCACAUUUGCGUUUUACGGGAAGGCCCUAAUGCGAUGCUAUUGUCGUGCCUCUCGCCGGUGCCUCCAAGAGGGAAGGUUAUGGGCGUCCGGUACCCUGGCCCGGUAAGCAGACAUAACCUUGUGUGCCCGUAGUUGGUAUUGAGAUCUCUUGUCCCCGUUUGGGACCAUUUUGUUUUGCCACGGCGGUGGACGUUGGUGUCUUUGGUAGACAAGGGGCCACCCAUGGCUUAUCCCAGUGGAGAGUGAGUCGGAGUGGCCCGGAGAGUGUCAUGGCAGUAGAUCGGUUUUGUUGGAACGCUGUUGGUCCACCCGAAUGGGAGUGCGAGGCCAUGGGUUCUGUGGUCUGGGUAAAGUGCGCUACCUCUGCAGAGUGUGUGUGUGUUUAAUCUAUCGAUAGUCGCGUCCUCAGUCAUGGGCAUAAGUUCGUACUAGGUCACACCGUUCGAUCAACACUCACAUGACAGAAUGACUUAUAGGUGAUGUAUAUGUUAAUAUUGUGAGCUGUAACAGUUUGGCAGGAUGAUGAUGAUGAUGUUGGGAUGAUCUUGAGAAGGAUCAUUCAGUUUGUGAUGUGGUCACGAGGUGAUCAUGUGGAUGUUCCGUUUGUGAUCUGUGAAUGAUCACCAUUCAGUUACGAGGUAACCCGUUGAACCCG